rnacentral:rRNA from 1 species
AGCUCUUGAAAAUAUAAAAGUCUGAUCUGCCACUGAUUUUUUAAAUGGCUGCAGUAUUUUCGACUGUACAAAGGUAGCAUAAUAAUUAGUUUUUUAAUUGAAAGCUUGUAUGAAGGAUUUAGCGACAAAAUUUCUGUCUCUAUUUUAUUUAUUUAAACAUUUUUUUUUACCUUAAAAAUCUUAAAUAAUAUUGAAAGACGAGAACACCCUUUACAGUUUUAUAUAUUUAUAUUAUAAGUUUUUGAUUCCUGAAUUUAUAGUAUAAAUUUAUUUUAUUGGGGUGAUGGAAAAAAUUGUUAAACUUUUUUUAUAUUUAAACAUUAAUUUAUGAUUUAUUGAUCCAUGAUUUAUGAUUAAAAGAUAAAAUUACCUAAGGGAUAACAGCGUAAUUCUUUUAAAGAGUUCAAAUCGAAAAAAGAAAUUGCGACCUCGAUGUUGGAUUAAAAUAAAAAUUUGGUGUAGCAGCUAAAUGGUUAAGUCUGUUCGACUUUUAAAAUUUUACAUGAUC